GUGUCAGCUUUGGAAGCACAUAUAAUAAAAAUUGGAAUGAUACAGAGAAGAUUAACAUGGCCUCUGUGCAAAAAUGACAUGCAAAUUCAUAAAGUCUUCCCAAAUUUU